GAUAUAGAAGGAACACCAAUGGCGUAGGCAGGUUACUGGACCAUUUCUGACACUGAGGCACGAAAGCGUGGGGAGCGAACCGGAUUAGAUACCCGGGUAGUCCACGCCGUAAACGAUGGAUACUAGCUGUUGGAGGUAUCGACCCCUUCAGUAGCGAAGCUAACGCGUUAAGUAUCCCGCCUGUGGAGUACGGUCGCAAGACUAAAACAUAAAGGAAUUGACGGGGACCCGCACAAGCGGUGGAUCGUGUUCUUUAAUUCGAUGAUAAACGAAGAACCUUACCAGGGUUUGACAUCCUUGGAAUUUUGCCGAAAGGCGAGAGUGCUUUAUUGAGCCAAGUGACAGGUGUUGCAUGGCCGUCGUCAGCUCGUGUCGUGAGAUGUUUGGUUAAGUCCAUCAACGAGCGCAACCCUUGUGAAUAGUUGUAUUUUUCUAUUCAGACUGCCCCGGUAACGGGGAGGAAGGAGGGGAUGAUGUCAGGUCAGUAUUACCCUUACACCCUGGGCUAGAAACACGAUACAAUGGUUAGUACAAUGCGCAGCGAAGCCGCGAGGUGGAGCAAAUCGCAUCAAAGCUAAUCCCAGUUCGGAUAAGAGGCUGAAACUCGCCUCUUUGAAGUCGGAAUCGCUAGUAAUCGCAGAUCAGCAAGCUGCGGUGAAUACGUUCCCGGGUCUUGUACACACCGCCCGUCAAACCAUGAAAGUGACCAACACCCGAAGUCCGAUUCGUCGGCCUAAGGUGGGGGGCAUGAUUGGGGUUAAGUCGUAACAAGGUAACCAAGGG
rnacentral:rRNA from 1 species